rnacentral:rRNA from 1 species
AGUACUGCCAGACUUGGAACCGGGAGAGGUAAGAGGUACUACAGGGGUAGGAGUGAAAUCUUGUAAUCCCUGUGGGACCACCUGUGGCGAAGGCGUCUUACCAGAACGGGUUCGACGGUGAGGGACGAAAGCUGGGGGCACGAACCGGAUUAGAUACCCGGGUAGUCCCAGCCGUAAACGAUGCUCGCUAGGUGUCAGGCGAUGGCGCGACCGUGUCUGGUGCCGCAGGGAAGCCGUGAAGCGAGCCACCUGGGAAGUACGGCGCAAGGCUGAAACUUAAAGGAAUUGGCGGGGGAGCACAACAACGGGUGGAGCCCUGCGGUUUAAUUGGACUCAACGCCGGACAACUCACCGGGGGCGACAGCAAUAUGUAGGCCAAGCUGAAGACUUUGCCUGAAUCGCUGAGUAGUGGUGCAUGG